rnacentral:rRNA from 1 species
UACGGAGGGUGCGAGCGUUGUCCGGAAUCAUUGGGCGUAAAGGGCGCGUAGGUGGCUUCUUAAGCGUGCGGUGAAAGCCUGGGGCUCAACCCCGGGUCGGCCGUGCGAACUGGGGGGCUGGAGCACUGUAGAGGCAGGCGGAAUUCCGGGUGUAGCGGUGGAAUGCGUAGAGAUCCGGAAGAACACCGGUGGCGAAGGCGGCCUGCUGGGCAGUUGCUGACACUGAGUCGCGACAGCGUGGGGAGCAAACAGG